CGGGAGGCAGCAGUUAGGAAUCUUCCGCAAUGGGCGCAAGCCUGACGGAGCGACGCCGCUUGGAGGAAGAAGCCCUUCGGGGUGUAAACUCCUGAACCCGGGACGAAACCCCCGACGAGGGGACUGACGGUACCGGGGUAAUAGCGCCGGCCAACUCCGUGCCAGCAGCCGCGGUAAUACGGAGGGCGCGAGCGUUACCCGGAUUCACUGGGCGUAAAGGGCGUGUAGGCGGCCUGGGGCGCCCCGUGUGAAAGACCACGGCUCAACCGUGGGGGAGCGUGGGAUACGCUCAGGCUAGACGGUGGGAGAGGGUGGUGGAAUUCCCGGAGUAGCGGUGAAAUGCGCAGAUACCGGGAGGAACGCCGAUGGCGAAGGCAGCCACCUGGUCCACCCGUGACGCUGAGGCGCGAAAGCGUGGGGAGCAAACCGGAUUAGAUACCCGGGUAGUCCACGCCCUAAAC
rnacentral:rRNA from 1 species